AGAGAAUUAGCAUUAAGAGAGUCUGGCAUCAUUUUCUGCCUGGAAGCAGUGGUUCAGGAUAACGCGCGCUCCAUAAAAGAAUAAAAAACAUUGAUUAUUAUUUGCAUCAGAACCCAAAAACAUAGCAAAGAGAAAACAGCAAAGGGAAAGAGACAGAAAAGGGAGACUAAGAGGAAGAGAAAGAAAAGGAAAUGCUGGUCAAAAUAGAGGAAGGCAAAUCAGAAACCAGAGACCAAAGACUUUUAAAGAACAGGAACACCUCUCUCCUUCAAUCUCCACCAACAUAGGCACUUGUACUGAACUAUACAAAAAUCUGAAGUAUUGAAAUAUUAAAAUCAGAUCAAAGGAAGAAGAAAAAAAUGGCAAUCAACAGAAUUUCAGGUCUCAAUGGGGGAAUGAAGAUAGUAUAUAUAGAUUAAGUUCUCAUAAAAUACUAGAAGAUUCAGUCAAACUGCAUUUGUGGAACUGCACUGUGGAAUUUCACCUGAGGAGCCCCAUCUGUAUGAGGGGCUGAUUUAGCAGAGAGGUUCUGGAUUUCAAGCCAAUGCCAUUAUGUGAUGAGAUUUUGAGGCUCCUGGAAAGAGGUUAAUAGUCCAGUCAGUCAGAGCUGGUGAAGUAGACUUGCUGUAGAAGGUGUGAAGGCCCAGUCCUCCCUCCACGUUUCUCCACCCUUGAAAGGUCGUGUGCAUGUCUGUUCACCCAUGAAAGAAGAGGAAGACACCAAAUGGAUGGCAUUGAUUUCAUUUUAAGUAAGUGAGGAGUAAGUUACCAUUAAGCUCAACAUUCCAUUGUUCUGAAUUUAGUCAUAUUAGCAUGCCCAGCUGCAAGGAGGGUUGGGAAAUAUUGCCUCUAGCUGAGCAGUCAUAUAUUCAGAUACAAUCAUUUUAUUAUGGAAGACAGAAAAAUGAGGCCGGCUGCAGUGGCUCACGCCUGUAAUCCCAGCACUUUGGGAGGCUGAGGCGGGCAGAUCACGAGGUCAGGAGAUCGAGACCAUCCUGGCUAACAUGGUAAAACCCCGUCUCUACUAAAAAUACAAAAAAAUUAGCCGGGCAUGGUGGCGGGUGCCUGUAGUCCCAGCUACUCGGGAGGCUGAGGCAGGAGAAUGGCGUGAACCCGGGAGGCGGAGCUAGCAGUGAGCUGAGAUCGCACCACUGCACUCCAGAGCCUGGGCGACAGAGGAAGACUCCGUCUCAAAAAAAAAAAAAAAAAAAAAAAAAAAAAAAAAAAAAGAAAAGAAAAAUGUUGGGAAACAACUAACAGUUUUCCACAGAUAUAAAAUAUUAGCAUAUCAGUAUUUUCAUUCUUAAAAAUUAUCUGGAGAGCAACUAACAAUGCCGCUGGAUAAUUAAGUUAUACAUUUUCUACAAUCAGAAGGGCGAGAAGAAUCAACUCUCUAGAUCUCGCAUACACUAUGGUAUAUAUAUAAGCAUUGGAGUUGUAUUUUAGUCAUUUCUGA
rnacentral:lncRNA from 1 species